CCCUUAGAUGUUCUGGGCCGCACGCGUGCUACACUGAGUGGAUCAGCGGGUCAGGUUGCGCGAAAGUGUUUCCUAAUCUUUAAAUCCGCUCGUGAUGGGGAUUGACGGUUGCAAUUUUCCGUCAUGAACGAGGAAUACCUUGUAAGCGCGGGUCAUCAUCCCGCGCUGAAUACGUCCCUGCCCUUUGUGCACACCGCCCGUCGCUCCUACCGAUUGAGUGGUCCGGUGAGGCUUUGGGAUCUGGGCGGAAAGAGCGUUUCGCUGUUUCUGCCCGGAAAACUCAGUCGAACCUUAUCAUUUAGAGGAAGGAGAAGUCGUAACA
rnacentral:rRNA from 1 species